rnacentral:rRNA from 1 species
UGAUGUGGUUUAAUUCGAUGCAACGCGAAAACCUUACCCACCUUUGACAUGUACGGAAUCCUUUAGAGAUAGAGGAGUGCUCGAAAGAGAGCCGUAACACAGGUGCUGCAUGGCUGUCGUCAGCUCGUGUCGUGAGAUGUUGGGUUAAGUCCCGCAACGAGCGCAACCCUUGUCAUUAGUUGCUACGAAAGGGCACUCUAAUGAGACUGCCGGUGACAAACCGGAGGAAAGGUGGGGAUGACGUCAAGUCCUCAUGGCCCUUAUAGGUGGGGCUACACACGUCAUACAAUGGCUGGUACAAAGGGUUGCCAACCCGCGAGGGGGAGCCAAUCCCAUAAAGCCAGUCGUAGUCCGGAUCGCAGUCUGCAACUCGACUGCGUGAAGUCGGAAUCGCUAGUAAUCGUGGAUCAGCAUGUCACGGUGAAUACGUUCCCGGGUCUU